AGAGAAAAAUUCAAUCACACAUCUUGCUCAAAAGUGCCGAAAAUUCUAGUACCUUAAGGGCGAUUCUAGUUGGUCAAUCUUAAGGCGGAUCCGGACGUGCUGUGGACUAUCUACGGAGGGACGACACUUGGAGUCCUAAAGACUUGUUCUUGCUCGGUUCGGGCGCAGCUAGGGAGGGCACGCAACAAAGACGAGUUUCAAUUUAUUCAUGAGUUAUGCCUGUAUGUGCUAUCAGCAUCCCAGAGGACUGAGUUGAUACGGGCUACUCUGUCUACACUUCAUGCAUUCCUUUCAUGGAUUCCGUUGGGAUAUAUUUUUGAAUCCCCUCUGCUGGAAACUCUUUUGAAAUUCUUUUCUGUUCCAGCAUAUCGAAAUCUUACCCUCCAGUGUUUGUCUGAGGUUGCAGCACUGACAUUUGGUGAAUUCUACAAUGCCCAAUAUGUGAAGAUGUGCAACGUAUUCAUGGUUCAGUUACAGGUUUUGCAAAACGAGAUCACAAAAAACAAGCUCCAAGAAGAAGUUGGAUUUUUUUGUCCGCAUAAGCUAGCGCUGGUUAAAUUUCGUCCCAGUGUGCACACAAAAUAUGUGAAUCAUUCAAUUACCAAGCAAAGUACGAAGAAGUAUAUACUUGCCCUGAUCCGUCAAGAGUAAGUACAUUAAUAUAACUUAUUGAUUAUAAUGCUUAA